rnacentral:rRNA from 1 species
AACGAACGCUGGCGGCAGGCCUAACACAUGCAAGUCGAACGCCGUAGCAAUACGGAGUGGCAGACGGGUGAGUAACGCGUGGGAACAUACCCUCCGGUUCGGAAUAACUCAGGGAAACUUGAGCUAAUACCGGAUACGUCCAAGGUUUUAAUCGGCCUUGGAGAAAGAUUUAUCGCCGGAGGAUUGGCCCGCGUCUGAUUAGCUUGUUGGUGAGGUAAUGGCUCACCAAGGCGACGAUCAGUAGCUGGUCUGAGAGGAUGAUCAGCCACAUUGGGACUGAGACACGGCCCAGACUCCUACGGGAGGCAGCAGUGGGGAAUCUUGGACAAUGGGCGCAAGCCUGAUCCAGCCAUGCCGCGUGAGUGAAGAAGGCCUUAGGGUUGUAAAGCUCUUUACCAGGGACGAUAAUGACGGUACCUGGAGAAUAAGCCCCGGCAAACUUCGUGCCAGCAGCCGCCGCGGUAAC